UACGUAGGGUGCAAGCGUUGUCCGGAAUUAUUGGGCGUAAAGAGCUUGUAGGCGGUUUGUCGCGUCUGGUGUGAAAUUUCGGGGCUCAACCCCGAACUUGCAGUGGGUACGGGCAGACUAGAGUGUGGUAGGGGAGACUGGAAUUCCUGGUGUAGCGGUGAAAUGCGCAGAUAUCAGGAGGAACACCGGUGGCGAAGGCAGGUCUCUGGGCCAUAACUGACGCUGAGAAGCGAAAGCAUGGGGAGCGAACAGG
rnacentral:rRNA from 1 species